rnacentral:tRNA from 1 species
ACAUUAUUAGUAUAAAAUUUAAUAUAUUACUUUUCCAAAGUAAUGAUCUACAUAAAAGUAGAUAAUGUA